UGGGGAAUAUUGCACAAUGAGCGCAAGCCUGAUGCAGCCAUGCCGCGUGUAUGAAGAAGGCCUUCGGGUUGUAAAGUACUUUCAGCGGGGAGGAAGGGAGUAAAGUUAAUACCUUUACUCAUCACCGUUACCCGCAGAAGAAGCACCGGCUAACUCCGUGCCAGCAGCCGCGGUAAUACGGAGGGUGCAAGCGUUAAUCGGAAUUACUGGGCGUAAAGCGCACGCAGGCGGUUUGUUAAGUCAGAUGUGGAAUCCCCGGGCUCAACCUGGGAACUGCAUCUGAUACUGGCAAGCUAGCGUCUCGUAGAGGGGGGUAGAAUUCCAGGUGUAGCGGUGACAUGCGUAGAGAUCUGGAGGAAUACCGGUGGCGAAGGCGGCCCCCUGGACGAAGACUGACGCUCAGGUGCGAAAGCGUGGGGAGCAAACAGG
rnacentral:rRNA from 1 species